GUCCAGAAGGAUCAAACUCAAGUUGUCAAGCUAAACACAGCGUUUUUAACCCUCUGAGUGAAUAAUUUUCUUAAUUUUUGAAAGUCCUUAAAAAAAUAAAAUAAAAUAAAAAAGAAAGUCCUUGAUUACAAGUUAGAAAUCCAAUACAGUACUAGGUGUUGGACUUCAGUUUUCCAAAAUGUAAGUUGUUGUGGAAUUUUGAAAAUUCUAAAUAUCUGAAAUUUGGGUAGAUUGGUUACUACCAUCUGUGAAGCACAUAAUCACACAUGCACACAUAAACAAUCAUACAUAUGCACACACACACCCACAAUCACAAUGUAAAAUAUGUUUCCUCCUAUGAGUCAUCAAUAAAAAGGCUUGAGAAUCAUAAAGAUCUGUAGAUCAAGGUAAGAUCUGCCCCGAUUGGCAUUUAUCUACCCUUUGCUUAAAAUUCAAGAGUAGUGAGACUAGACUCCCUGAACGUGACAGCCUUCUCAUAACUGACUCACAACUCUUCAUCUCAGCUAACACUUCAUUGUGUUUCCUCAGUUUUCAAAUAUUACACACACACACACGUGCACACAUCACAUUGUACAUGUAAAAGUGAGAGAAGAAAUUUCAAGGUCAGUUUUUGCUUGGCAGUAAGCACUUUUGCCCACUGAGCCAUGUCACCAGCCUGGCCUCCUCACCACUGCAGUGCCUGAAGUAUUAUAUAUUGUAUUCUCUGUGGUUUAGUCUACAAGCUAAGGGAUCAAACUGGCCUAGAGCACUCGGGUGUCUUGAAGCUCCAGCCAGAGGCCUUUAGAAAGCAUACUAGCUGACUGUCAGGAUGCUCUUGGGCCACCCUUUGCUCUCACAUGGAAACACGCCCGCUAGCUGUGCUGUAAGUGAUCCUUGCAGCAAGUAUGUGCAGUAGUUGUCCUAGAGCAUCGGCUUUACGUCAAUGCUUAAUACGACACUCAGAGUUAGGUCUGUUUAAAUGCCUGCUACUUCCUUACUCCAUAAGUACCUCAAAACACAGUAAUAGCAUCUCUUUCUAUGCAAACCUCUGUACAUAAAAAGGUUUACAUUUUAAAACAAACAUUUUUUUUGAGCUUUAUCCAAAUUCAAAAAAAGCAUCUGAAAAUUUUAACAGCUGAAAAACACUUUCUCCUUGCUGGGAAAACUUAAACCUUGCUAGGUUUUAUGCAACAACAACAAAAAAAAAAGGCAAGAAAGAAAGACUUCUGUGCUGAGAAGCAGCGUGAGAAAUCUCAGCAUGAGAGGUUGUUGGAAUUGUUUUUCUUCAUAGAGCUAAAACCAGUCCUUGGGUUUAAAGUGAUGCCACAGUAUACAUACGCUUUGUCAGGAACAAAGGAUUUUUUCAUCAAAUCUAAUUUCAAGGGCAUCUUGAAUAAAAAAUAGAAGGGCUAGAGAAAGGCUACUUCAGCGGCGAUCCAGUGUCUAGAAGCAGAGGUUGAGCACAUCGUUGUAUCAACAAGGUCUGGAGACACUGCUAGCUCUGGGUGCUUGUAGCUGCCCAUAAACCCUGAAGCGGCCUAUUUUAUUAUUGUCUCGCUCAGGCCUUACUUAGCCCAGAGUGUCUCACAAGGGAAGCACUGCUCUGGGAUGGUGCGCUGGACUUUGUUUCUGUUUGUUUCAGCACUUCAGUAAAUGGUCUCAAGAAAUGGUCUGUUAUCUGCCAUCAUGACCUGCAUGCAUUUGCUGAACAGUUUUUCGAAUAAAACAAAAUUCUGUGGCAGUUUCUAGAAACCUGAACCAUUUUCAAGACAAUAUCCAAUGAGAAAUGCCCAGAGACAUAUCCAUAUGAAUGCGUGAUGAGGACACACAUAUGUUACUCUGGAUUCCUAAGCUCAGGACGAUGAAACGAGGCUAGACAAUACAAACAGGAAGAUUGAACUUGUUUAUGUAUUUAUAACCCAUGCUCUGCUCUUAACACUAUACCUAUUUGGAAGUGACUAUAAAAUAGACCCACAUGUGUGUUUAACAAAAUAAUCUUGUUCCUCUUAAUAGUCCCUAAGGGAUAAAAAAUAACACAAAUUUGGGCUUAUUUGUUUGCGUUUCAGGCAGCACUGUUGUUGUUUUUCUGUCUUUACUUUUUGAGACAGACUGGCUAUAUAGAUCAGGCUGACCUGUUACUCAUAAUAUAGCUUAAACUGGUCUUAAAUUCACAGUUAUUCUCCUGCCUCAACCUACCCAGUGCUACAUAGAUGUAAAUGACCACACCUGACACAAAGCAUGAAGUUUUUAACAUCAUCAUGGCUAGUUGUAGGAACAGUGACCAAGGCAGUCAUGGGUGGGAGGAGUCAUGCAGCAGCAUACCUCUCGUACAGACACGGUUUUUAUAAGGCCUUCCUGGAAGACAAGCUUAGACAUUUCAAGACCUCAGAAAAUUUUUUCUGCACCUUCUGUGCUCCAAAUUGAGUUGAGUUUGCAUCGUGUUUCAGUAUAACUGAGUAGCAGGCUGGCAAAUUCCCUGCCUUCCUAUUCACCAAAAUCCAAAAUAGAACUCACAAAAACUCCUUCCUUCUCAUCCCUCUUUUAAAAACACCCCACUGUGUCCCCCCAGGGAGGAAGAAGCAAAAAAAAAAUUCCAGUAAAUAGAGCCAGCCCUGAAAGAGAAAUCCCCAGCUGUAGCUCUAGCACUUUGCUCAGUACUGUGAGCUUGCUAGAGCUGGCACAUUUUUUAUAAUACAGAUGCAUAAAUGUCUCUCUGAGGCAGAGGAAUCCAGUGUUGCCUGAUGCCUUGGUCUAAGUAUAUUGCACAACCUAGAACAAAAGACCCCGUUUUCCACCUCACUUUAUAUAUUUUUAAUUGUGACCUUCUAUAACUGAUUUUACAUAAAUUUUGGAGAAAACAACCUUUGUUGAGACUUUCACAGCAUUCUUCCAAAUGGAGGCUUUCAGAUAUUUACAGUGAUAUAUGUAAAUUUGGACUUCUUUAAAAAUGCAUAUUUGUUUAAUAAUGACUUAUUUCAGAAAAGGUUAUGUGAUAUAUUAACUAUAAAUAGUUGUUUAAAACCAAGCUAUGUGUUAAAAUUUUGAGACCAUGAGCUAUAUGUACAUUUUUAAGGUAUAGCUUGUGUUCUGAGUACCCUUUUUCAUUUCUUCAAAAUUCAUUUAUAGAAUAAAUACUUAAAUAGAUAACACUGAUGAAAGUG
rnacentral:lncRNA from 1 species